CCCCCCCCCCCCCGUUAUUUACCCCUGACCGCAAGACAACCUUACGGAGGAAACGCUGAGGGCAACAACUGGACACAACUCGUUGGUCGAGGUUUGAAAAAUAAAUAAACUUUUAAAAACGCACAAACCUGGCUGGAGACAAGGCAGGAGCUCAGCUACACUGAACUGUAGUCUGGGACUUGGGGACUGAUCUGGUCUGGACUUGCUCUGGUCUGGACUAUCUCUGAUCUGGACUAUCUCUGAUCUGGACUAUCUCUGGUCUGGACUAGCUCUGGUCUGGACUAGCUCUGGUCUGGACUAUCUCUGGUCUGGACUAUCUCUGGUCUGGACUAUCUCUGAUCUGGACUAUCUCUGGUCUGGACUAUCUCUGGUCUGGACUAUCUCUGGUCUGGACUAUCUCUGGUCUGAAUCCCCACCUACCAGAUGUUACUGUACCUACCUUCCCUGUCCUUACUAGCAUGUCACCCUUACAAGCCUAACUCCGCUCUCAAAAAGGAAUGACACAAGGCAGUCCUGAUUGGUCGACCCCUCAGACUCUGACCGUUGAAGUUUAGCUAGCGUAGGCAGUAUGACCUCUGACCUGGGCAGUGAGUGAAGAGAACUCGCCGACAGCGUCGUGCCGGGUCAACUAAUGACGAGACGAUGGAAGAAAGAAGAAAAAAAAAACUGAAAAUUAACCCUUCAGAUUCUGUAGCUCAUAUAUAUCUACUUCCUUUACACUGCCCUCUAGUGUCUGUAUGCUGUCUCUCUUUACUCCUUUAAAUCUCACUCCUUCUUCUUCUUCUCCUUGUGAACCUUCCUCUUUCCCUCUAUCGUUCAGUGAGAGAGGACAUGGUGGGUUUAACGCUAUUUUUAAACCAUUACGGGGGGGGGGGGGGAAACGAGAAAUACCACAAAUCUUCCUGAUUCAGUGACAAGAAAAGCUCUUAGUUUGCAACUCCUGAAACUUUAAAAUAUUGUAAUGUUUUGUGAACAGAGGAGUUAUGCUUUAUGAGCAAAAUAUCUGAAGAAAAAUAUUUAUUUAAAUUUAAAACAUAUUUUAGUUAGAUUUCCCUUUUCCCCAAAUGGUAUGGUCCUUCGUUAGUUUGCAGCCUAGACACAUAGAAACAGUAUGUCUGCCCCAAACCCAGUGAGACUCAUAGUAAGUCAACUCAUAUUGAGUGUGAAUAGUCUGCUAUUGCAAGGCCGAGGGAUGGGUGGGGCUAGAGAUAUUACACAUGGGAUCCAAAUCUAAUCAUAACAGGGUAACCAUGGUGACCAUGGUCUCACACUGAUCCUCAGCCAGACCUCCUGUAAAUAUCGAAAUAUGAACAACCAGCAGCAUUAUAGUUCGCUAGGCGCUACUUUCCCCCACCCCUUACACAGAUAUAGGACACUAGCAUAGAGGUGGUUAGAUACAGGACACUAGCAUAGAGGUGGUUAGAUACAGGACACUACCAUAGAGGUGGUUAGAUACAGGACACUAGCAUAGAGGUGGUUAGAUACAGGACACCACCAUAGAGGUGGUUAGAUACAGGACACUAGCAUAGAGGUGGUUAGAUACAGGACAAUACCAUAGAGGUGGUUAGAUAAAUGACACUACCAUAGAGGUGGUUAGAUACAGGACACCAGGAUAGAGGUGGUUAGAUACAGGACACUACCAUAGAGGUGGUUAGAUACAGGACACUACCAUAGAGGUGGUUAGAUACAGGACACUAGCAUAGAGGUGGUUAGAUACAGGACACUAGCAUAGAGGUGGUUAGAUACAGGACACUAGCAUAGAGGUGGUUAGAUACAGGACACUAGCAUAGAGGUGGUUAGAUACAGGACACCACCAUAGAGGUGGUUAGAUACAGGACACUAGCAUAGAGGUGGUUAGAUACAGGACACCACCAUAGAGGUGGUUAGAUACAGGACACUACCAUAGAGGUGGUUAGAUACAGGACUAUACCAUAGAGGUGGUUAGAUACAGGACAAUACCAUAGAGGUGGUUAGAUACAGGACACUAGCAUAGAGGUGGUUAGAUACAGGACACUAGCAUAAAGGUGGUUAGAUACAGGACACUAGCAUAGAGGUGGUUAGAUACAGGACACUACCGUAGAGGUGGUUAGAUACAGGACACUAGCAUAGAGGUGGUUAGAUAAAGGACCAGAGCACAGAGGUGGUUAGAUACAGGACAUUACCAUAGAGGUGGUUAGAUACAGGACACCACCACAGAGGUGGUUAGAUACAGGACACUAGCACAGAGGUGGUUAGAUACAGGACAUUACCAUAGAGGUGGUUAGAUACAGGACACUAGCAUAGAGGUGGUUAGAUACAGGACACUAGCAUAGAGGUGGUUAGAUACAGGACACUAGCAUAGAGGUGGUUAGAUACAGGACAUUACCAUAGAGGUGGUUAGAUACAGGACACUAGCAUAGAGGUGGUUAGAUGCAGGACACUAGCAUAGAGGUGGUUAGAUACAGGACACUACCAUAGAGGUGGUUAGAUACAGGACACUAGCAUAGAGGUGGUUAGAUACAGGACACUAGCAUAGAGGUGGUUAGAUACAGGACACUAGCAUAGAGGUGGUUAGAUACAGGACAAUACCAUAGAGGUGGUUAGAUACAGGACAAUACCAUAGAGGUGGUUAGAUACAGGACACUACCAUAGAGGUGGUUAGAUACAGGACACUAGUAUAGAGGUGGUUAGAUACAGGACAAUACCAUAGAGGUGGUUAGAUACAGGACACUAGCAUAGAGGUGGUUAGAUACAGGACACUAGCAUAGAGGUGGUUAGAUACAGGACACCACCACAGAGGUGGUUAGAUACAGGACACUAGUAUAGAGGUGGGUAGACACAGGACACUACCAUAGAGGUGGUUAGAUACAGGACACUAGCAUAGAGGUGGUUAGAUACAGGACUAUACCAUAGAGGUGGUUAGAUACAGGACAUUACCAUAGAGGUGGUUAAAUACAGGACACCACCACAGAGGUGGUUAGAUACAGGACACUAGCACAGAGGUGGUUAGAUACAGGACAUUACCAUAGAGGUGGUUAGAUACAGGACACUAGCAUAGAGGUGGUUAGAUACAGGACACUAGCAUAGAGGUGGUUAGAUACAGGACACUAGCAUAGAGGUGGUUAGAUACAGGACACUAGCAUAGAGGUGGUUAGAUACAGGACACUAGCAUAGAGGUGGUUAGAUACAGGACACUAGCAUAGAGGUGGUUAGAUACAGGACACUAGCAUAGAGGUGGUUAGAUACAGGACACUAGCAUAGAGGUGGUUAGAUACAGGACACUAGCAUAGAGGUGGUUAGAUACAGGACAAUACAAUAGAGGUGGUUAGAUACAGGACACUAGCAUAGAGGUGGUUAGAUACAGGACAAUACCAUAGAGGUGGUUAGAUACAGGACACUACCAUAGAGGUGGUUAGAUACAGGACACUACCAUAGAAGUGGUUAGAUACAGGACUAUACCAUAGAGGUGGUUAGAUACAGGACACUAGCAUAGAGGUGGUUAGAUACAGGACACUAGCAUAGAGGUGGUUAGAUACAGGACAAUACCAUAGAAGUGGUUAGAUACAGGACACUAGCAUAUAGGUGGUUAGAUACAGGACACUAGCAUAGAGGUGGGUAGACACAGGACACUACCAUAGAGGUGGGUAGACACAGGACACUACCAUAGAGGUGGUUAGAUACAGGACAAUAGCAUAGAGAUGGUUAGAUAAAGGACACUAGCAUAGAGGUGGUUAGAUACAGGACACUACCAUAGAGGUGGUUAGAUACAGGACACUAGCAUAGAGGUGGUUAGAUACAGGACACUAGCAUAGAGGUGGUUAGAUACAGGACAAUACCAUAGAGGUGGUUAGAUACAGGACACUAGCAUAGAGGUGGUUAGAUACAGGACACUAGCAUAGAGGUGGUUAGAUACAGGACACCACCACAGAGGUGGUUAGAUACAGGACACUACCAUAGAGGUGGGUAGACACAGGACACUACCAUAGAGGUGGUUAGAUACAGGACACUACCAUAGAGGUGGUUAGAUACAGGACACUACCAUAGAGGUGGUUAGAUACAGGACACUACCAUAGAGGUGGUUAGAUACAGGACACUAGCAUAGAGGUGGUUAGAUACAGGAAACUAGUAUAGAGGUGGUUAGAUACAGAACACUAGCAUAGAGGUGGUUAGAUACAGGACAGUAGCAUAGAGGUGGUUACAUACAGGACACUAGCAUAGAGGUGGUUAGAUACAGGACACUAGCAUAGAGGUGGUUAGAUACAGGACACUAGCAUAGAGGUGGUUAGAUACAGGACAAUACCAUAGAGGUGGUUAGAUACAGGACUAUACCAUAGAGGUGGUUAGAUACAGGACACUACCAUAGAGGUGGUUAGAUACAGGACACUACCAUAGAGGUGGUUAGAUACAGGACUAUACCAUAGAGGUGGUUAGAUACAGGACACUAGCAUAGAGGUGGUUAGAUACAGGACACUAGCAUAGAGGUGGUUAGAUACAGGACACUAGCAUAGAGGUGGUUAGAUACAGGACAAUACAAUAGAGGUGGUUAGAUACAGGACACUAGCAUAGAGGUGGUUAGAUACAGGACAAUACCAUAGAGGUGGUUAGAUACAGGACACUACCAUAGAGGUGGUUAGAUACAGGACACUACCAUAGAAGUGGUUAGAUACAGGACUAUACCAUAGAGGUGGUUAGAUACAGGACACUAGCAUAGAGGUGGUUAGAUACAGGACACUAGCAUAGAGGUGGUUAGAUACAGGACAAUACCAUAGAAGUGGUUAGAUACAGGGCACUAGCAUAUAGGUGGUUAGAUACAGGACACUAGCAUAGAGGUGGGUAGACACAGGACACUACCAUAGAGGUGGGUAGACACAGGACACUACCAUAGAGGUGGUUAGAUACAGGACAAUAGCAUAGAGAUGGUUAGAUAAAGGACACUAGCAUAGAGGUGGUUAGAUACAGGACACUACCAUAGAGGUGGUUAGAUACAGGACACUAGCAUAGAGGUGGUUAGAUACAGGACACUAGCAUAGAGGUGGUUAGAUACAGGACACUAGCAUAGAGGUGGUUAGAUACAGGACAAUACCAUAGAGGUGGUUAGAUACAGGACAAUACCAUAGAGGUGGUUAGAUACAGGACACUACCAUAGAGGUGGUUAGAUACAGGACACUAGUAUAGAGGUGGUUAGAUACAGGACAAUACCAUAGAGGUGGUUAUAUACAGGACACUAGCAUAGAGGUGGUUAGAUACAGGACACUAGCAUAGAGGUGGUUAGAUACAGGACACCACCACAGAGGUGGUUAGAUACAGGACACUACCAUAGAGGUGGGUAGACACAGGACACUACCAUAGAGGUGGUUAGAUACAGGACACUACCAUAGAGGUGGUUAGAUACAGGACACUACCAUAGAGGUGGUUAGAUACAGGACACUACCAUAGAGGUGGUUAGAUACAGGACACUGCCAUAGAGGUGGUUAGAUACAGGACACUAGCAUAGAGGUGAUUAGAUACAGGACACUACCAUAGAGGUGGUUAGAUACAGUGCUAUACCAUAGAGGUGGUUAGAUACAGGACACUAGCAUAGACGUGAUUAGAUACAGGACACUACCAUAGAGGUGGUUAGAUACAGUGCUAUACCAUAGAGGUGGUUAGAUACAGGACACUACCAUAGAGGUGGUUAGAUACAGGACACUAGCAUAGAGGUGGUUAGAUACAGGACACUAGUAUAGAGGUGGUUAGAUACAGAACACUACCAUAGAGGUGGUUAGAUACAGGACACUAGUAUAGAGGUGGUUAGAUACAGGACACUAGCAUAGAGGUGGUUAGAUACAGGACACUAGCAUAGAGGUGGUUAGAUACAGGACACUAGCAUAGAGGUGGUUAGAUACAGGACACUAGCAUAGAGGUGGUUAGAUACAGGACACUAGCAUAGAGGUGGUUAGAUACAGGACACUAGCAUAGAGGUGGUUAGAUACAGGACACUAGCAUAGAGGUGGUUAGAUACAGGACACUAGCAUAGAGGUGGUUAGAUACAGGACACUAGUAUAGAGGUGGUUAGAUACAGGACACUAGCAUAGAGAUGGUUAGAUACAGGACACUAGCAUAGAGGUGGUUAGAUACAGGACACUAGCAUAGAGGUGGUUAGAUACAGGACACUAGCAUAGAGGUGGUUAGAUACAGGACAUUACCAUAGAGGUGGUUAGAUACAGGACAAUACCAUUGAGGUGGUUAGAUACAGGACACUACCAUAGAGGUGGUUAGAUACAGGACACUACCAUAGAGGUGGUUAGAUACAGGACACCAACAUAGAGGUGGUUAGAUACAGGACACCAACAUAGAGGUGGUUAGAUACAGGACACUAGCAUAGAGGUGGUUAGAUAAAGGACACUAGCAUAGAGGUGGUUAGAUAAAGGACACUAGCAUAGAGGUGGUUAGAUACAGGACACUACCAUAGAGGUGGUUAGAUACAGGACACUAGCAUAGAGGUGGUUAGAUACAGGACACUAGCAUAGAGGUGGUUAGAUACAGGACACUAGCAUAGAGGUGGUUAGAUACAGGACACUAGCAUAGAGGUGGUUAGAUACAGGACACUAGCAUAGAGGUGGUUAGAUACAGGACAUUACCAUAGAGGUGGUUAGAGUUCAGUAGGCCCGUAACCUGUCUCUAAAGUCCACUACAACCUUUGAUGUACAGUAAUGAUAUGAUCCACUGUCGGAGUAUAUGCCAACAUCAUGUUUUCUUUGUCAUUGUAUUCUUAGAAAUAACUCAAGGAGAUGUAACCUAUUAUUGGAUAGUGAAACCUACUGCUGUGUUGUACAGAUACUUUUAGGCUACACAGACUCUGCACUACAGUCCCAGGAACAGGACGUAAACUAUCCAAACCUCUCGUUGUGUAACAUUACAGAGUGACGUUACUUAGCAUUAGCUAGUGCACUAAGUAGUUCCUUAACCAGACACCAGCUAGUUUAACUUAGUCAGUGUAGUGAAGUGUAGUGUAAAAGUCUAUGUCCCAAGUUGCACCCUAUAUUCCCUAUACCCAGUGCUCUAUGGGCUCUGGUCCCAAAGUAGUGCACUAUAUAGACGAUAGGGUACCAUUUGGGAAACACUUUUUAAGGGAUCUCUAGCUUCCUGUUACCUCUUUUGUUCUUAAGUAGAGUGCAGUAGUGUUAGACACUUUGGUAAUCAGUCAUUCAGUCACUGUACAGUCAAUGUGUUGUCUUGUUUGGUCAUCAUGUCAUGCUCAGUCCCUGGAUGUGGACUUCUUGCAGGUACCAUGGACGGAAAUUCGAAGUGUUCACAGUAGAGUUGCAAAAUUCAGGUUAACUUUUGAAAAAAAAAAUCCCAUGUUGUCCAGAAAUCCCGGUUGGAGGAUUCACAGAUUUCUUUGCUUAUUCCCAUCUGAAUCGAGGAAUAUUCAAACCAGGACUCUAAAGUGCGUAGUUUUCUUAACUGCGACCAAUCCGACAAAAUAUUUCGCUGUGCGACCAGGAGUUUGAUUUUGUGAGCACUGUUCGAAUAGGAAAAAAAAUGUCCCGGUUAAUAUUUGGUGUAAUGAUAAGGCUUGGCUGUACCGUUUUUUUCCCAGUGCCCUAGAGAAUCAAGUGAUUUGAUAACGUCAUGGUUGCACUAUCACUACAGAGAAAACGGGUUUGCCCAACUAGAUCAUAAGGUCUGACCCAUGUUACCGACGCAACAUUUGACCCAUGUUACCGACGCAGAAGUUUGUGUCUUGUUAGGAUUCUGGAAGGACAGAUAGCUAGCAACAAUGACAAGAAACUGUCAUGUGGGGGAAUCAUAAAUGUCUUAUUUUGAGAUGUUUUGACCAGUUUCAUGUCAAUGCUAAUAUGACUCAAAUUCGCUAGGGAGCUAACCAACAACUCCAACAAUGUAUUUGAGAGACAAGUGAUCGUUGUGCACAUUUAUUUCGUUUUUAAAUAAACAUUGGGAGACAAAA